CUUGCCCGCUGGCGGCAGGCCUAACACAUGCAAGUCGAGCGGAGGAAGGGAGCUUGCUCCUGGAUUCAGCGGCGGACGGGUGAGUAAUGCCUAGGAAUCUGCCUGGUAGUGGGGGAUAACGUCCGGAAACGGGCGCUAAUACCGCAUACGUCCUGAGGGAGAAAGUGGGGGAUCUUCGGACCUCACGCUAUCAGAUGAGCCUAGGUCGGAUUAGCUAGUUGGUGGGGUAAAGGCCUACCAAGGCGACGAUCCGUAACUGGUCUGAGAGGAUGAUCAGUCACACUGGAACUGAGACACGGUCCAGACUCCUACGGGAGGCAGCAGUGGGGAAUAUUGGACAAUGGGCGAAAGCCUGAUCCAGCCAUGCCGCGUGUGUGAAGAAGGUCUUCGGAUUGUAAAGCACUUUAAGUUGGGAGGAAGGGCAGUAAGUUAAUACCUUGCUGUUUUGACGUUACCAACAGAAUAAGCACCGGCUAACUUCGUG
rnacentral:rRNA from 1 species